AGCUUGCUUUCUUUGCUGGCGACCGGCGCACGGGUGAGUAACACGUAUCCAACCUGCCCUUUACUCGGGGAUAGCCUUUCGAAAGAAAGAUUAAUACCCGAUGGCAUAAUGAUUCCGCAUGGUUUCAUUAUUAAAGGAUUCCGGUAAAGGAUGGGGAUGCGUUCCAUUAGGUUGUUGGUGAGGUAACGGCUCACCAAGCCUUCGAUGGAUAGGGGUUCUGAGAGGAAGGUCCCCCACAUUGGAACUGAGACACGGUCCAAACUCCUACGGGAGGCAGCAGUGAGGAAUAUUGGUCAAUGGGCGCUAGCCUGAACCAGCCAAGUAGCGUGAAGGAUGAAGGCUCUAUGGGUCGUAAACUUCUUUUAUAUAAGAAUAAAGUGCAGUAUGUAUACUGUUUUGUAUGUAUUAUAUGAAUAAGGAUCGGCUAACUCCGUGCCAGCAGCCGCGGUAAUACGGAGGAUCCGAGCGUUAUCCGGAUUUAUUGGGUUUAAAGGGAGCGUAGGUGGACUGGUAAGUCAGUUGUGAAAGUUUGCGGCUCAACCGUAAAAUUGCAGUUGAUACUGUCAGUCUUGAGUACAGUAGAGG
rnacentral:rRNA from 1 species